UACGAAGGGGGCUAGCGUUGUUCGGAAUUACUGGGCGUAAAGGGCACGUAGGCGGGUUGUUAAGUCAGGGGUGAAAUCCUGGAGCUCAACUCCAGAACUGCCUUUGAUACUGGCAACCUAGAGACUGGAAGAGGUUAGUGGAAUUCCCAGUGUAGAGGUGAAAUUCGUAGAUAUUGGGAAGAACACCAGUGGCGAAGGCGGCUAACUGGUCCAGCACUGACGCUGAGGUGCGAAAGCGUGGGGAGCAAACAGG
rnacentral:rRNA from 1 species